GUUCUCUGUCUAGCUGUGACCGGCUGAGGCGGCGCGGCGGCACAGGGACGGUAGUUUUGCCUAGCUACUGCAGCACCAUAGUGUCAGUUGGUCCCGCCCAGAACACUUCAGUUCUGCUCUGCAAGGAUAUAUAACUGAUUGGUGUGUCCAUUUAAUACAAGAAAAUGGAAACGGAACAACCGGAGGAAACCUUUCCCAACACUGAAACCAAUGGCGAAUUUGGUAAACGCCCUGCUGAAGAUAUGGAAGAAGAACAAGCUUUUAAAAGAUCUAGAAACACUGAUGAGAUGGUUGAACUGCGCAUCCUGCUUCAGAGCAAGAAUGCUGGGGCAGUGAUUGGGAAAGGAGGCAAGAAUAUUAAGGCUCUCCGUACAGACUACAAUGCCAGUGUUUCAGUCCCAGACAGCAGUGGCCCCGAGCGGUAUGUCCCAACAGUUUAUGCCUCACUGCCUGAUUAGAAAGAGAGAAAUGUAUUUUAUUACCUGCCUUUUAUAUAAUUAAAUAGUAUCCCCUUUAGACGGUGUAUUGUUUUUCAAGUUUCUGUCUUAUUUUCCCCAUUAAGUCUUUUUGUCACUGAACUUUUACCGUGAGUUGCCCACCCAAACGAUCCACUAAUUUUAUUUCGAUGGAAGGAGCACAGCUUCAAGUGUUGCAUAUUUGCUGCAUUGUAAAUCAAAUUGUUACCGAAAUAGUCUCUCGCUCUGUCUUUGUGGCCCACCUUGCUUCCCAAACAUUGCCUGUUCAUAAUUUUUUCUGAUGAAAUGCUAACUCUGGUUCACUUUCCUUCACUUCUCAUUUGUGUUGUCUUUGUUUUGUCUUGCAUUUGUAUUUGUUUUCUUGCAGAGCCCAUUAGUGAUCUAAUUUCUAACUGGUAUCCAUAACCUUACUCCAGAUAUAAUGUUCACCACUUGGCAUAUUCCCCCACUUUGCCUAAGAGAAGGUGUGCCAGUUUUACCAGUGUAACAGCGAGGGUAUCCUUAAUUAACUUAGUGGUGGCGGGGAACAUAAAUAUUCAACUCUGCUUCAGUUCUGGUCAAUUUAUUGCCCACUUAAUCUGAGCCCUUCCAAGAGCCCAUUCUCUCUGUCUCUGCAAGUCUCCUAAUAUUGUUACCAUGUUUGUAUUGGGCAUAAAACAAAAUGCAUGUGAAAAAUGUAUAAAUAGGCUACUUUAAAUGGGGAGUAUUAAAUAAUUGUAUGCUACUUCUCUGUAAAAGUUUGCUUGACUACGGGUGAUGACCACAAAACUCAUUUUUUCUUUUCCACCUUUUUUUGUACUAUCUGGUAUUUGUGAUGUUUGACAGCAUAUUGAGUAUCAGUGCCGAUAUUGAAACAAUUGGAGAAAUUCUGAAGAAAAUCAUCCCUACCUUAGAAGAGGGCCUGCAGUUGCCAUCACCCACUGCAACCAGCCAGCUCCCGCUCGAAUCUGAUGCUGUGGAAUGCUUAAAUGUAUGUCAUAGUGCCAUUGAACCCCACUGAAGUAUGGAGCCUGGCCCAUAGGAUCAAUUUUAUUUUCAACAUAGUGUACUUUUCCCAUCUCUAUAGAAAAAGGCUUAAAAACAUGAUAAAUGAAUGGUCUUACAACUCACUGUUGACCCUGCUCCAUGCUGCAGUGGGAAUUAACUACAUUUGCAAAGUGCUUUGCAGUCAUUUUUAUUAUGGUGUUAUUUGAAUGUUAAUAAUAAUUUUGUGGUAACAGCGACAUGCUAAAUGGCUGCAGUGUGGGUAUGGUGUUGCAGGACCUGAAAAUAAAAUAGUUUUUUAAGGUGGUGCAGAAUGUCCUUUUUGGGCCUGGCUAUUGAGGAUAAUAAGCACAUAACUGGUAAAGUUAUUGAAAUAUAAAUUCAGGUUGCUCACUGCAACAGUAUGUUGUUAUGCUUAUAGCAGAUAAGUGUGUAUUCUUGGGGAAUCCUUGAUUUGGGACUAAAGUUUUAUAACUCUCCCUCCCGCAGUACCAGCACUAUAAAGGAAGCGACUUUGACUGCGAGUUGAGAUUGUUGAUUCAUCAGAGUCUGGCAGGAGGAAUUAUUGGGGUCAAAGGUGCUAAAAUCAAAGAACUUCGG
rnacentral:lncRNA from 1 species